CCAAGACUAAAGCAGAAAGCAGCAUACAUUUUAAUCUAGUUUAUCCCUGUAGUCUUCAUGUGACACUGUUUUUGAGUUAGGAGAAGCUCUGAUAUUACCAUAAAUCUUUUGGCCUGACCUGAAAUUUAGAUAUCCUGUUAGCCCGUCAGAGAAAUAUUUCACAUUGCAUUGUCUUUUAUUAUUAGUAUUAUUCUGCUUUUGACCAUAAAUGGGCUUAUUGGAUAUUUGGUUGUGGCACUGGUGGAAAUCUUUUCAACAGAUGCCCGAGGCAAGGAUCCAGCGUCCAGCUGGUUCUCUGUAUUCAAGUUGUACUUUUGGCACUGGCUUGUGGCAGCAAGUGUUCUUAUUGUUUACUUGGCUGUAAUUUAUGGGACAUACGUUCCUGAUUGGAAAUUCACUGUCCUGAACAGCAAUAGUACUGUUGAGAUGACAUAUUGAUCAACAUGGGAGUUGAUUUAUUCAGCAACAGCUGGAACAUUGCUUGAUCAUUCAAAGGGUCAAGGCUAAGAAACCUUCUUGGAAGAUUGGUUCCUCGUUUGCUACCAAGAAGGCCACAAAAAGUUCACCUAAAGUCCAGAUUGAUGCUGAUUUGGACCUGAUAGACGAAGAUAGCCUAAAGUCCAGAUUGAUGCUGAUUUGGACCUGAUUUGGUUCCUCAUUGUAAUUUUUUUUUGUUUUUUUUGAAAUAGUAGCAGCAUUAUAUUAGUUUAAUUAGGUAUAAUGUAUUAUUAUUUAUUUUUUUCUUUGUAAAUUUAUG